GUGGGGAAUCUUGCGCAAUGGGCGAAAGCCUGACGCAGCCAUGCCGCGUGGAUGAUGAAGGUCUUAGGAUUGUAAAAUCCUUUCACCGGUGAAGAUAAUGACUGUAGCCGGAGAAGAAGCCCCGGCUAACUUCGUGCCAGCAGCCGCGGUAAUACGAAGGGGGCUAGCGUUGCUCGGAUUUACUGGGCGUAAAGGGCGCGUAGGCGGACAUUUAAGUCAGGGGUGAAAUCCCGGGGCUCAACCUCGGAACUGCCUUUGAUACUGGGUGUCUUGAGUAUGAGAGAGGUGUGUGGAACUCCGAGUGUAGAGGUGAAGUUCGUAGAUAUUCGGAAGAACACCAGUGGCGAAGGCGACACACUGGCUCAUUACUGACGCUGAGGCGCGAAAGCGUGGGGAGCAAACAGGAUUAGAUACCCCGGUAGUCC
rnacentral:rRNA from 1 species